UACGUAGGGUGCAAGCGUUGUCCGGAAUUAUUGGGCGUAAAGAGCUCGUAGGCGGUCUGUCGCGUCUGCUGUGAAAAUCCAGGGCUCAACCCUGGACCUGCAGUGGGUACGGGCAGACUAGAGUGCGGUAGGGGAGAUCGGAAUUCCCGGUGUAGCGGUGAAAUGCGCAGAUAUCGGGAGGAACACCGGUGGCGAAGGCGGUUCUCUGGGCCUUACCUGACGCUGAGGAGCGAAAGCGUGGGGAGCGAACAGG
rnacentral:rRNA from 1 species